rnacentral:misc_RNA from 1 species
AAAGAAGGUCAUCUUCAUUGCGUGCAAAUGAACAAAAUCUGAAGAGAAUAAGACAGGAAAUAUCCUCAACUUAUCUGGAAUAAACAAAGAUGAUCCAUCAUGUAUCAGGCUUCUGUGCAACGAACAGCUCCGCGUAAAUGGUUUCUAUUAAAGCCAAAGCUUGCAUGUCUUUCUCUCCUUGUCCAUCUCGUGAGACACCAGAU